rnacentral:rRNA from 1 species
GACGAACGCUGGCGGCGUGCUUAACACAUGCAAGUCGUACGGUAAGGCCCUUUCGGGGGUCCACGAGUGGCGAACGGGUGAGUAACACGUGAGUAACCUGCCCACAACUUUGGGAUAACGCUAGGAAACUGGUGCUAAUACUGGAUAUGUGCUCCUGCUGCAUGGUGGGGGUUGGAAAGCUCCGGCGGUUGUGGAUGGACUCGCGGCCUAUCAGCUUGUUGGUGGGGUAGUGGCCUACCAAGGCGGCGACGGGUAGCCGGCCUGAGAGGGUGACCGGCCACAGUGGGACUGAGAUACGGCCCAGACUCCUACGGGAGGCAGCAGUGGGGAAUAUUGCACAAUGGGCGCAAGCCUGAUGCAGCAACGCCGCGGGCGGGAUGACGGCCUUCGGGUUGUAAACCGCUUUCAGCAGGGACGAAGCUUUUUGUGACGGUACCUGCAGAAGAAGCACCGGCUAACUACGUG